AACGAACGCUGGCGGCAGGCUUAACACAUGCAAGUCGAACGGAUCCUUCGGGAUUAGUGGCAGACGGGUGAGUAACGCGUGGGAACGUACCCUUUGCUACGGAAUAACUCAGGGAAACUUGAGCUAAUACCGUAUGUGCCCUACGGGGGAAAGAUUUAUCGGCAAAGGAUCGGCCCGCGUUGGAUUAGCUAGUUGGUGGGGUGAUGGCCUACCAAGGCGACGAUCCAUAGCUGGUCUGAGAGGAUGAUCAGCCACACUGGGACUGAGACACGGCCCAGACUCCUACGGGAGGCAGCAGUGGGGAAUAUUGGACAAUGGGCGCAAGCCUGAUCCAGCCAUGCCGCGUGAGUGAUGAAGGUCUUAGGAUUGUAAAGCUCUUUCACCGGUGAAGAUAAUGACGGUAGCCGGAGAAGAAGCCCCGGCUAACUUCGUG
rnacentral:rRNA from 1 species